AUUGAACGCUGGCGGCAUGCCUUACACAUGCAAGUCGAACGGUAGCGGGCCUUCGGGUGCCGACGAGUGGCGAACGGGUGAGUAAUGUAUCGGAACGUACCUUUCAGUGGGGGAUAACGUAGCGAAAGUUACGCUAAUACCGCAUAUUCUGUGUGCAGGAAAGCAGGGGAUCGCAAGACCUUGCGCUGAUUGAGCGGCCGAUAUCAGAUUAGCUAGUUGGUGAGGUAAAGGCUCACCAAGGCGACGAUCUGUAGCGGGUCUGAGAGGAUGAUCCGCCACCCUGGAACUGAGACACGGUCCAGACUCCUACGGGAGGCAGCAGUGGGGAAUUUUGGACAAUGGGGGCAACCCUGAUCCAGCCAUGCCGCGUGAGUGAAGAAGGCCUUCGGGUUGUAAAGCUCUUUCGGCCGGGAAGAAAUCGUAUCAGCUAAUACCUGGUGCGGAUGACGGUACCGGCAUAAGAAGCACCGGCUAACUACGUGCCAGCCGCCGCGGUAACAC
rnacentral:rRNA from 1 species